UGGAGAAUUUUCCACAAUGGGCGAAAGCCUGAUGGAGCAAUACCGCGUGAAGGAUGAAGCAUCGUGGUGUGUAAACUUCUUUUCUUAAGGAAGAAUAAUUGACGGUACUUAAGGAAUAAGCACCGGCUAACUCUGUGCCAGCAGCCGCGGUAAUACAGAGGGUGCAAGCGUUGUCCGGAAUGAUUGGGCGUAAAGCAUCUGUAGGUGGUUUCUAAAGUCAACUGUCAAAUCCCAGAGCUCAACUUUGGACAGGCAGUUGAGCACUUAGAGACUCGAGUGCGGUAGGGGUAGAGGGAAUUCCUUGUUCAGCGGUGAAAUGCAUAGAGAUAAGGAAGAACACCAGUGGCGAAAGCGCUCUACUGGGCCGUGACUGACACUGAGAGAUGAAAGUUGGGGGAGC
rnacentral:rRNA from 1 species